rnacentral:sRNA from 1 species
UCACUUUCCCAUAUGGCUACCAUGCUGGUUUUAAUCAUGGUUUCAACUGUGCAGAAUCUACAAAUUUUGCUACUGUCAGAUGGAUUGACUAUGGAAAAGUUGCCAAAUUGGAGGGCAGGGCAUGCAUGCAGCCAUGUGAACUGAGAGUGAGAGGGAAAUGGAUGAGAUGCUUAAUGUCAGAUCUAUGCCACUGCCCUCAUGCUUGACCUUGUGGCAGCCAAGCCAGAGAUGGCCAUGCGCUCCUUACCACGGUCAUUCUCAGCAGAAUCCACAUCACAUUCACCCGGAAGCCUGGGAGUAAUCUGUACCUAGGAGUCUGCAGGGCAUGACCAGCCUGCAGUACUGUGUUGACGAGGAAGAUGGCAGCCUCUUUGAUAUGAGAUAGGGCUCAUGUGCAUGUUAGGUAUAGUGGCAUGUCACUGUUGCCACUGCUCUUCUGCUACCAGGAUGGCUUGAAUGCAAUAUAGGCUGUUCCAUGUGUGCUUUCCCUCCGUUAUGAAACUUCUUCCUGUGGGGUGAGAUGCUACAGUGUGUGUCACUUUAUUCACUUGAAUCAGAAUUCAGCUUUGUAUAUUGAAUCCCAAUUUUUAUGGUUACAUCUGAAAAGAGAGAAUCACCUAUUUGAUAUUAAUUGUAGAAUCAGUCUUUGAAAUUUAUAAUCUGAAGCAUUACUAACUGCAUUAAAGAACAUUAACUGUU